GCGGGGAUAGCUCAAUUGGGAGAGCAUCAGAUUUUAAUCUGAAGGUCGCGUGUUCAAUCCACGCUCACCGCA
rfam:Cucumis melo, WGS project CAJI01000000 data, contig: 00081